rnacentral:misc_RNA from 1 species
UUAACUAUUAUAUAGUACUCAGACAUCAUAAAAUCAAGAGUUGGGGCCUUUGGCGGGCACUCACCAGCGUGAGCCGGUGGCUUGACGCGGCCCGCCAAAGCAACAAAGGUAUAGUAAACAAGGGUGGGGGGGUACCCCCCGUGAAGGGGGCCGUGAUCGUCGGGUAGCGGGCGAACCCGCUACCACGGUAGGAGACUACUCCUUUUGUAAUGAUCCUUCCGCAGGUUCACCUACGGAAA